rnacentral:rRNA from 1 species
UACGUAGGGUGCAAGCGUUAAUCGGAAUUACUGGGCGUAAAGCGUGCGUAGACGGUUAUUUAAGUCGGGGGUGAAAUCCCGAGGCUCAACCUCGGAACUGCCUUCGAUACUGGCGACCUUCGAGUCCGGGAGAGGUGAGUGGAACUCCGAGUGUAGAGGUGAAAUUCGUAGAUAUUCGGAAGAACACCGGUGGCGAAGGCGGCGUUCUGGACUGUAUCUGACACUGAGGAACGAAAGCCAGGGGAGCAAACGGG